GAUGAACGCUGGCGGCGUGCUUAACACAUGCAAGUCGAACGGAGAACGAGGGAGCUUGCUCCUUCCGGGUCAGUGGCGAACGGGUGAGUAACACGUGAAUAAUCUACCUCUAACUCUGGGAUAACCGUUGGAAACGACGUCUAAUACCGGAUACUAUGCUGGAGCGCAUCCUCUCCUCGUGGAAGGAACUUCGGUUCGGGAUGAGCUCGCGGGCUAUCAGCUUGUUGGUGAGUUAUCGGCUCACGACGGCGAAGAGUGAUAGCCGGCCUGCGAGGGGGACCGGGGACAAGGGGACUGAGGGACGGAGCAGAAGCCAACGGGAGGCAGUAGGGGGGAGUAUGGCAGAGUGGGGGCAAGCCAGAGGCAGCAACGCCGCGUGAGGGACGACGGCUUUCGGGUGAAAAACAAAUUUGAGCAGGGAAGUAGCGAAAGUGACGGUACCUGAAGAAAAAGCACCGGCUAACUACGUG
rnacentral:rRNA from 1 species